UCAACCUUAACGCAAUCAAACAGACAUUUUAACCAGAUGAAGAAGGCUGAAGUUAGAUUCUCACGACUAGUCCAGGGGAUUAUUUGAGAGAAUUAAUCUACACAGUAACAUGCCACAGUACACCAAUACCCUAGGCUUUUACAUGAACUGCUUUAAGGCACGAUGACAGAAGCAGGAGAAACACAGAGCCCUGCAACCUUUGGCAGAAGUUUUCGGUAAGCACUGAUCUCCAUGUCCAGCGCUAAUUUGACAUCAAGCAGUUCCUGGUAUUCUGCAAGCUGCUGCUGCAUCUGGUCCCUCAUUUCCAUCAUUUCCCUCUCCUUGGCAUCUAGCAUCUUCCUGAACUUGUCCUGCUCACCAGCCAUCAUAUCCUCCAGUUCCCGAAUGCGAUCUUCUGCAACACUAGCCUAUGGUCACAGUAAAACAAGAAAUCAACUUGGCAUGUGUAUGGAGACAGAGGAGGAUACGUGAUUUCCCUAUGACAGAGCACUGCCACGGAGCUCCGUCUGCAGCCGAGAACGGUUGAGAAGGAACCAAGGGGACAGUGGGGGGGAGCGCAAGCUGCAGGAGGUGCCAACGGCUGCACGAGACUACUCCUGUGUGCUCCCUUCCCCCAACCAAGUACUGCUGCGAGAAAUCUCCGAUCUCUGGCGCAGGGAUGCAACGACGUGUAGAGUGGAGGAUCCACAGGGAAACCACUCAAAGAAGAAUAUUUACUUCUGCUCUUCUACUGCUGCCAGUUCACCUCUGCAUGCAUCCACACACAUGCUUGAUUUGCACACCAUUAUCAGGAAAGUGGGGGAAUAAAAAGUCGCCAGAUUAAGCCUGUUUAGCAACAAUAUUAAAAUACCAGCCUCAACAGGGUUCCUCAAACGUCGCAUCACAGAGAAACCAUACAUUGCAUCAAUUGUUGACAAUAGUUUUUUCAUAAUUCCGUUGCCUUAUGUAGAAAGGCAGGUUCUGCCAUGAAACCUGCAGCUGAAAUAGGAUAAUGGAUUGCCACUCAGUACAGAUACUUUUUAAAGUCUCCAGCAUGUAACAAGUUACUUGACUCAAGAGGGAGGACAUCAAAUUUGGAGCAUGGCCAAAAGUUAUAAAACCAGAAUACAAGCCUUUUCAGCAGUGAUGUAUUUUUUUUUUUUAAACACACACACAGGAACUAAUUAAUGGACUCAGACCAAGACCAUCAAGUUUCAUCCUGAUAUAAAUCUCCUUUUAGGGAAAUUAUAAAAGUGAGACUAUUUACACAAUUGCCACAUGUGUAAAUUAGCAUUCCCAUAAUGCUAACAUGCAGAGGAAUCAAAUUUUAGCAAUUGUUUAUCAAUAACGUUGAACUAGCAGCAGAGUUUCAGAUCAAACAUUAAAGAUUUAUUUGGAAAACCCUCCCUUUUGGCAUCAGCAAUGAUCCAGUCAGUGCAAAGCGAACUGUAAAGUAUUUCAAAUAAUUUCGCAGAAGUUAAAACAGAAAAAGAUGCUAAACAUUUGGCAUUUAUUCACAACAUGCAGUUUUAAAUCACCCAAUGAGAACCAUUUGGUAUGAGUGUGCUUGCCCAUAUUUACUAAAAGUACAUACAUUUGAAAGAGAAAUAUUACUAAAGCCAAUUUGCUGUAAGCGCGUUCUCCCUAAACUAAAUUAUAUAUAAUAGGUAUCACCUACAUUCAGAGGUAAUUUUAACAUAGGCAUGUAAUAUCUUGAACAUCAAACUUGUUUCACAUGCUAGACAGUGCUCCCAGAAUAAGGAUCUGUCUGCAAAAUAACAGAAAAACAGGAUGGGGAAGGUAUUGUUAAAACGUGGUUUCUUUUUUUCUGUUUGGAUUUAAAAUGUAUAUGCAUACACAUAUUCCCUAAAAGAGAAUAGUCUCAUUUAUAGAUGCAUAUACAUAUUCCCUAAAAACAGUCUUGUCUGUGUGGACAGAAAAAUGUAUUAUAGCCAUGUUUAACCCAAGUAGGCUAAAAACUCACUAACACGGUUAGAUGACUAGUGUACACAGGGAAAAAAAGCCAUGUUAUAACAGUUCAGGUACCACCAUGCAGAGUUCUGAAAUAUAAGCUAAGUGAAAAACUUCAUCACUGAAAUUUCAAGCCCUACUAAAUAAGCUGAUCUCCUUGCCAUUGAAAUAUUUUAGUUUAACUGAGAUUGUGGUUUACAGUAAUUUAAAUAUACUAAUCUCGCUGAUGGCAGAAUGCUCAAAUUGUCUGUCGGGAUCUUGCACUAGGAGUGAUUUAACAUACUCAAUAUUGAGCAUAUAGCAUUCUUUGGCCAGGGACUAUGGAUAGAAGAGAAGAGACGCUAUUUUGCAUCGUUGAUGCCCUAUCUUUUGGAUAAGUUUAAGCCCAGGUCAUUUCUGCCUGACUGUUUUAAUGACUGCAGAGAAGGAGGAUAAAGAUUGUCUGAAAAAGGGAUAACUCAGUCAUCCUUAUGUAAGCACUAGGAGAUAAAUCAUCAUGCAAAUCAUGCAGGAUCAGAGGAGAAAGGGGAAGAAAAGCAAGACAUUCAGGAACACUUCUCAAAAUAUUGGGGAAAAUGAGUUCUGUUUCUUUAAGUUUGAAGAAAUCAUACACCUCACAUUGCAAAGAAAUUCUUACUUCAUAGAAAACUUCCUUCCAAGACUGUCACCUCCUUUAUAUAACCAGGAUUCAGAAGCAGAAAGAUCGCUAUUAGCAUGUUUGCAUCCAGAGGCAAAGUUAGAUGCUCUAAUAUUAACUGUAAUACUCAAAAGACAACUAAUUGUACCAGUUUAAUUAGAAGCCAAUAAGUGAUCUUUUAGUGGAAGACAUCACUUUCUAAUUUAAAACUCUAUACUGAAAUGCCAGAAAGAUGCGUAUUAACCCAGUGGUCUCAACACAGGUACACUGUGGGAUUAUGGGUCAAUAGUAAUCCUAGGACUCUGCUGAAGCUGAUAAAGGCUGGACUCCUCCUGCAAACCAAUUUAAAGACAGCAUGGCCCCAGACACAGACACUAUGCUGAGAGUAAGACAACUUGGGUGAACUUGGCACAAGUCACUUCCCCUCUUUGACUCUCAGU